UUCUGGUUUAUUAAUUGUUAUUUCUGUAGAGUCUUCAGUCACUCUCAGCUCCUCCUGAAUCUACAGAAAGCAUCUCUGUCAGUUUCCUCUUUUCUUUUGAUGGUGUGAGAGAAUCUGUCUGUCAGCUGAGACACAAACUGGAGGAUUUCUGCAAAGAGGAGAUGAAAAAGAUAUCUGUCACUCACAGUAACAUUGUUCCCAGGACCAGAGAGCACUUCCUACAAUAUUCCCAUCAGUUCACUCUGGAUCCAAACACUGCACAUAAACUCCUCAUUUUUUCUGAUUGGGAGGAAGAGGUGGCUUUCAGUAACAACCGUAUCCAGCCGUAUCCUGAUCACCCAGACAGAU